rnacentral:rRNA from 1 species
UAAGCGGAGGAAAAGAAACUAACAAGGAUUCCCCUAGUAACGGCGAGUGAAGCGGGAAGAGCUCAAAUUUGAAAUCUGGCAGUCUUCGAUUGUCCGAGUUGUAAUCUAUAGAGGCGUUUUCCGUGCCGGACCGUGUCCAAGUCUCCUGGAAAGGAGUAUCAAAGAGGGUGAUAAUCCCGUACUUAACACGACCACCGGUGCUCUGUGAUACGUCUUCUACGAGUCGAGUUGUUUGGGAAUGCAGCUCAAAAUGGGUGGUGAAUUCCAUCUAAAGCUAAAUAUUGGCGAGAGACCGAUAGCGAACAAGUACCGUGAGGGAAAGAUGAAAAGCACUUUGGAAAGAGAGUUAAACAGUACGUGAAAUUGUUGAAAGGGAAACGAUUGAAGUCAGUCGUGUUCUUUGGAUUCAGCCAGUUCUGCUGGUCUACUUCCUUUGAACGGGUCAACAUCAGUUUUGUCCGGUGGAUAAAGGCAGUAGGAAUGUAGCUUCUCCGGAAGUGUUAUAGCCUAUUGUCACAUACACUGGGUGAGACUGAGGACUGCAGCUCGCCUUUAUGGCCGACCUUCGGUACGUUCGAGCUUAGGAUGUUGACAUAAUGGCUUUAAACGACCCGUCUUGAAACACG